rnacentral:rRNA from 1 species
UUAAGCGACUAAGCGUACACGGUGGAUGCCCUGGCAGUCAGAGGCGAUGAAGGACGUGCUAAUCUGCGAAAAGCGUCGGUAAGGUGAUAUGAACCGUUAUAACCGGCGAUGUCCGAAUGGGGAAACCCAGUGCAAUUCGUUGCACUAUCGUUAACUGAAUACAUAGGUUAACGAGGCGAACCGGGGGAACUGAAACAUCUAAGUACCCCGAGGAAAAGAAAUCAACCGAGAUUCCCCCAGUAGCGGCGAGCGAACGGGGAGCAGCCCAGAGUCUGAAUCAGCUUGUGUGUUAGUGGAACGGUCUGGAAAGUCCGACGGUACAGGGUGAUAGUCCCGUACACCAAAAUGCACAGGCUGUGAACUCGAAGAGUAGGGCGGGACACGUGGUAUCCUGUCUGAAUAUGGGGGGACCAUCCUCCAAGGCUAAAUACUCCUGACUGACCGAUAGUGAACCAGUACCGUGAGGGAAAGGCGAAAAGAACCCCGGCGAGGGGAGUGAAAAAGAACCUGAAACCGUGUACGUACAAGCAGUGGGAGCACCUUCGGGUGUGACUGCGUACCUUUUGUAUAAUGGGUCAGCGACUUAUAUUCUGUAGCAAGGUUAACCGAAUAGGGGAGCCGCAGGGAAACCGAGUCUUAACUGGGCGUUAAGUUGCAGGGUAUAGACCCGAAACCCGGUGAUCUAGCCAUGGGCAGGUUGAAGGUUGGGUAACACUAACUGGAGGACCGAACCGACUAAUGUUGAAAAAUUAGCGGAUGACUUGUGGCUGGGGGUGAAAGGCCAAUCAAACCGGGAGAUAGCUGGUUCUCCCCGAAAGCUAUUUAGGUAGCGCCUCGUGAAUUCAUCUUCGGGGGUAGAGCACUGUUUCGGCUAGGGGGUCAUCCCGACUUACCAACCCGAUGCAAACUACGAAUACCGAAGAAUGUUAUCACGGGAGACACACGGCGGGUGCUAACGUCCGUCGUGAAGAGGGAAACAACCCAGACCGCCAGCUAAGGUCCCAAAGUCAUGGUUAAGUGGGAAACGAUGUGGGAAGGCACAGACAGCCAGGAUGUUGGCUUAGAAGCAGCCAUCAUUUAAAGAAAGCGUAAUAGCUCACUGGUCGAGUCGGCCUGCGCGGAAGAUGUAACGGGGCUAAACCAUGCACCGAAGCUGCGGCAGCGACACUAUGUGUUGUUGGGUAGGGGAGCGUUCUGUAAGCCUGCGAAGGUGACCUGUGAGGGUUGCUGGAGGUAUCAGAAGUGCGAAUGCUGACAUAAGUAACGAUAAAGCGGGUGAAAAGCCCGCUCGCCGGAAGACCAAGGGUUCCUGUCCAACGUUAAUCGGGGCAGGGUGAGUCGACCCCUAAGGCGAGGCCGAAAGGCGUAGUCGAUGGGAAACAGGUUAAUAUUCCUGUACUUGGUGUUACUGCGAAGGGGGGACGGAGAAGGCUAUGUUAGCCGGGCGACGGUUGUCCCGGUUUAAGCAUGUAGGCUGGUUAUCCAGGCAAAUCCGGAUAAUCAAGGCUGAGGUGUGAUGACGAGGCACUACGGUGCUGAAGUAACAAAUGCCCUGCUUCCAGGAAAAGCCUCUAAGCAUCAGGUAACAUCAAAUCGUACCCCAAACCGACACAGGUGGUCAGGUAGAGAAUACCAAGGCGCUUGAGAGAACUCGGGUGAAGGAACUAGGCAAAAUGGUGCCGUAACUUCGGGAGAAGGCACGCUGGUGUGUAGGUGAAGUCCCUGCGGAUGGAGCUGAGACCAGUCGAAGAUACCAGCUGGCUGCAACUGUUUAUUAAAAACACAGCACUGUGCAAACACGAAAGUGGACGUAUACGGUGUGACGCCUGCCCGGUGCCGGAAGGUUAAUUGAUGGGGUUAUCCGUAAGGAGAAGCUCUUGAUCGAAGCCCCGGUAAACGGCGGCCGUAACUAUAACGGUCCUAAGGUAGCGAAAUUCCUUGUCGGGUAAGUUCCGACCUGCACGAAUGGCGUAAUGAUGGCCAGGCUGUCUCCACCCGAGACUCAGUGAAAUUGAACUCGCUGUGAAGAUGCAGUGUACCCGCGGCAAGACGGAAAGACCCCGUGAACCUUUACUAUAGCUUGACACUGAACAUUGAGCCUUGAUGUGUAGGAUAGGUGGGAGGCUUUGAAGCGUGGACGCCAGUCUGCGUGGAGCCAACCUUGAAAUACCACCCUUUAAUGUUUGAUGUUCUAACGUUGGCCCCUUACCGGGGUUGCGGACAGUGUCUGGUGGGUAGUUUGACUGGGGCGGUCUCCUCCCAAAGCGUAACGGAGGAGCACGAAGGUUAGCUAAUCCUGGUCGGACAUCAGGAGGUUAGUGCAAUGGCAUAAGCUAGCUUGACUGCGAGCGUGACGGCGCGAGCAGGUGCGAAAGCAGGUCAUAGUGAUCCGGUGGUUCUGAAUGGAAGGGCCAUCGCUCAACGGAUAAAAGGUACUCCGGGGAUAACAGGCUGAUACCGCCCAAGAGUUCAUAUCGACGGCGGUGUUUGGCACCUCGAUGUCGGCUCAUCACAUCCUGGGGCUGAAGUAGGUCCCAAGGGUAUGGCUGUUCGCCAUUUAAAGUGGUACGCGAGCUGGGUUUAGAACGUCGUGAGACAGUUCGGUCCCUAUCUGCCGUGGGCGCUGGAGAAUUGAGGGGGGCUGCUCCUAGUACGAGAGGACCGGAGUGGACGCAUCACUGGUGUUCGGGUUGUCAUGCCAAUGGCACUGCCCGGUAGCUAAAUGCGGAAGAGAUAAGUGCUGAAAGCAUCUAAGCACGAAACUUGCCCCGAGAUGAGUUCUCCCUGAGACUUUAAGUCUCCUGAAGGAACGUUGAAGACGACGACGUUGAUAGGCCGGGUGUGUAAGCGCAGCGAUGCGUUGAGCUAACCGGUACUAAUGAACCGUGAGGCUUAACCUU